AUUGAACGCUGGCGGCAUGCCUUACACAUGCAAGUCGAACGGCAGCACGGGGGCAACCCUGGUGGCGAGUGGCGAACGGGUGAGUAAUGCAUCGGAACGUGCCCAGUAGUGGGGGAUAACCAGUCGAAAGACUGGCUAAUACCGCAUACGACCCAAGGGUGAAAGCGGGGGACCGUAAGGCCUCGCGCUAUUGGAGCGGCCGAUGUCUGAUUAGCUAGUUGGCGGGGUAAGAGCCCACCAAGGCGACGAUCAGUAGCUGGUCUGAGAGGACGACCAGCCAAACUGGGACUGAGACACGGCCCAGACUCCUACGGGAGGCAGCAGUGGGGAAUUUUGGACAAUGGGCGCAAGCCUGAUCCAGCCAUGCCGCGUGCGGGAAGAAGGCCUUCGGGUUGUAAACCGCUUUUGGCAGGAACGAAACGGCGCAGGCCAAUACCUUGCGCUAAUGACGGUACCUGCAGAAUAAGCACCGGCUAACUACGUGCCAGCAGCCGCUGUAAGAC
rnacentral:rRNA from 1 species